rnacentral:rRNA from 1 species
AAAGCUUCGGUGGUAUAGGAUUGGCUCGCGUGACAUUAGCUGGAUGGUGAGGUAACGGCUCACCAUGGCGAUGAUGUCUAGGGGUUCUGAGAGGAAGGCCCCCCACACUGGGACUGAGACACGGCCCAGACUCCUACGGGAGGCAGCAGUGAGGAAUAUUGGACAAUGGAUGGAAAUCUGAUCCAGCCAUGCCGCGUGCAGGAAGACGGCCCUAUGGGUUGUAAACUGCUUUUCUACGUGAGCAAUAAGGUCUACGAGUAGACUGAUGAGAGUAGCGUAGGAAUAAGCAUCGGCUAACUCCGUGCCAGCAGCCGCGGUAAUACGGAGGAUGCGAGCGUUAUCCGGAUUUAUUGGGUUUAAAGGGUGCGUAGGCGGCUUUUUAAGUCAGCGGUGAAAUUUUGCAGCUUAACUGUAACAGUGCCGUUGAUACUGAGGAGCUAGGAUUUGGUUGCUGUGGGUGGAAUGUGUGGUGUAGCGGUGAAAUGCUUAGAGAUCACACAGAAUAUCGAUUGCGAAGGCAGCUCACAAAGCCAAGAUUGACGCUGAGGCACGAAAGUGUGGGGAUCAAACAGGAUUAGAUACCCUGGUAGUCCACACUGUAAACGAUGAUAACUCGCUGUCGGCGAUACACAGUCGGUGGCCAAGCGAAAGCGAUAA